AUGGUUUCUUCAGAGAAAAUUAAAAUAAUACAAAUAAAAAAUUCCUCUCAAUCUCUCUCAGUCUCACUCACAAGUUCAAACAUCAAAUACAAAAAAAACAAACCCCAAAUCAAACUCUUAAGCCCCAAUUCAGAUCUUAAACGUUCAAGGUUACAUAUGCAAGAUUCUGCAGAAAUCCAAAAGCAUAAACAGAAAAUACAGAUAAAAAUAAAAGGUAUGUGUGCGCUGCUUAGUUCUCAGAAUCUUCUUCUUCGUGUGGCUUUAUCUGCGGAUCUAAACUUCUAUUUCUUCUUCUUUUCUGAAGCAAUCUGA